AAUCAACGCUGGCGGCGUGCCUAACACAUGCAAGUCGAACGAGAAAGAGGGGGCAACUCCUCGAGUAAAGUGGCGACCGGGUGAGUAACACGUGACUAACCUACCCUUGAGUGGGGAAUAACCUUCCGAAAGGAGGGCUAAUACCGCAUAACAUCGCGAGGCGAGAUUCCUUGUGAUCAAAGGAGCAAUUCGCUGAAGGAGGGGGUCGCGGCUGAUUAGCUAGUUGGUGAGGUAACGGCUCACCAAGGCGAUGAUCAGUAUCCGGCCUGAGAGGGCGAACGGACACACUGGAACUGAAACACGGUCCAGACUCCUACGGGAGGCAGCAGUGGGGAAUUUUGCGCAAUGGGGGAAACCCUGACGCAGCAACGCCGCGUGGAGGAUGAAGGUCUUUGGAUUGUAAACUCCUUUCGAUCGGGACGAUUAUGACGGUACCGGAAGAAGAAGCACCGGCUAACUCUGUGCCAGCCGCCGCGGUAAAAC
rnacentral:rRNA from 1 species